GGAGGCAGCAGUGAGGGAUAUUCCACAAUGGGCGAAACUGACGGAGCAACGCCGCGUGGAGGAUGAAGGCCUUCGGGUUGUAAACUCCUUUCGGCAGAGACGAAGCCCCCGAUUUAUCGGGGGUGACGGUAUCUGCAGAAGAAGCCCCGGCCAACUACGUGCCAGCAGCCGCGGUAAUACGUAGGGGGCGAGCGUUGUUCUGAAUUACUGGGCGUAAAGAGCACGUAGGCGGUAAGUCAAGUCGAGUGUGAAAGCCUUGGGCUCAACCCAAGGAUUGCACUCGAAACUAACUUACUAGAGUCUAGUAGAGGGAAGUGGAAUUCCCGGUGUAGCGGUGAAAUGCGCAGAUAUCGGGAAGAACACCAGUGGCGAAGGCGGCUUCCUGGAUUAUGACUGACGCUGAGGUGCGAAAGCUAGGGGAGCGAACAGGAUUAGAUACCCUGGUAGUCCUAGCCGUAAACGAUGGGCACUAGGUGUAGGGAGUUAUUGACGCUCUCUGUGCCGCAGCUAACGCAUUAAGUGCCCCGCCUGGGGAGUACGGCCGCAAGCUAAAACUCAAAUGAAUUGACGG
rnacentral:rRNA from 1 species